CUGAAGAUUUUUGUCAUAUAUGUGUGUGUGUGUGUGUGUGUGUGUGUGUAUAUAUGUAUAUAUAUGUAUAUAUAUAUAUAUAUACACACAUACAUACAUACGUACGUACAUAAAUAUAUAUGC
ensembl:miRNA Gm44308 predicted gene, 44308